rnacentral:misc_RNA from 1 species
GCUUUGCGGCUGGAUCCCCUCCUUUCUAAGGAUGUCUCUUCAUGGAGCCCCGAGCCCGGGACCACUCCAUAUCGAGGCGCUUGGAACAAGGCUCGUCCAAGUCACGGACGGGCCGUCAAAACGAGCGGGAGCCGCCGCCUUCGUUUCUCUUUCUUCGACGGAAAACGACACUCCUGCCGGGCUUUAACGACGGCAUUGCCUGACGAUGCCAUUGCACGGCUCCUAAGCGAUUUGGGGCCUGUAGCUCAGGUGGUUAGAGCGCACCCCUGAUAAGGGUGAGGUCGAUAGUUCGAGUCUAUCCAGGCCCACCAGAUCGCUUCGCCGCGGGCAACGCGGCGCAGGGCAGGGGUGCGGCCGGAUUUGGGCACCGCCAUUGCGGCGCAUGCCGUUUCGGGGCCAUAGCUCAGUUGGGAGAGCGCCUGAUUUGCAUUCAGGAGGUCGUCGGUUCGAUUCCGUCUGGCUCCACCACCUUUGCGUGGCGGACCGCCGGUAAUUCCGUCGAGAAAAAAGUUUGCGCACGCCGCAGGGUGUGCGCCUGUUCAGCAAAUAUCGUGAAGAGAAGGUUUGUUCGGGCUUUCCGCCAAGGAAAGCGCGGCGUCGCGGUCUAGCCGGCCGCCCGCCAUAUGUUUGCUCCGCCUGACCGCGGGCAACCGGACAGAUCUCGUGAAACUGGUCUUUCCCGGCCCCAGGACGCCGAGUGUCCUCGGGCCGGAUAUGCCGUGACGAUCGCAAGAUGGUCAUCGGCAAUGAGAACGAUCAAGUGUCUGAAGGGCAUUUGGUGGAUGCCUUGGCAUGCACAGGCGAUGAAGGACGUGAUACGCUGCGAUAAGCGUCGGGGAGCUGCGAAUAAGCUUUGAUCCGACGAUCUCCGAAUGGGGAAACCCGGAAGC